rnacentral:rRNA from 1 species
GACGAACGCUGGCGGCGUGCUUAACACAUGCAAGUCGAACGGAAAGGCCCUGCUUUUGUGGGGUGCUCGCGUGGCGAACGGGUGAGUAACCCGUGAGUAACCUGCCCUUUACUUUGGGAUAACUUCAGGCAACUGGGGCUAAUACCUGCUAGGAGCUCCUGCUGCAUGGUGGGGGUUGGAAAUUUUCGGAGGUUGUGGAUCGAGGCGGGGCUUACUAGCUUGUUGGUUGGGUAGUGGCUUAGCCAGGCAUUGACGGGUAGCCGGCCUGGGAGGGUGACCGGCCACAUGGGGACUGCGGGAGGGCCCAGACGCCUACGGUAGGCAGCAGGGGGGAAUCUUGCACAGUGGGCGGAAGCCUGAUGAAGCAACGCCGCGUUCGGGAUGACGGCCUUCGGGUGGUAAACCGCUUUCGCCUGUGACGAAGCGUGAGUGACGGUAAUGGGUAAAGAAGCACCGGCUAACUACGUG